rnacentral:rRNA from 1 species
AGCGAACGCUGGCGGCAGGCUUAACACAUGCCAGUCGAGCGGGCACUUUCGGGUGUCCGCGGCGGACGGGUGCGUAACGCGUGGGAACGUGCCCUCUGGUUCGGAAUAACUCAGGGAAACUUGAGCUAAUACCGGAUACGCCCUUUUGGGGAAAGGCUUGCUGCCGGAGGAUCGGCCCGCGUCUGAUUAGCUAGUUGGUGAGGUAACGGCUCACCAAGGCGACGAUCAGUAGCUGGUCUGAGAGGAUGAUCAGCCACACUGGGACUGAGACACGGCCCAGACUCCUACGGGAGGCAGCAGUGGGGAAUAUUGGACAAUGGGCGCAAGCCUGAUCCAGCCAUGCCGCGUGAGUGAUGAAGGCCUUAGGGUUGUAAAGCUCUUUUAUCCGGGACGAUAAUGACGGUACCGGAGGAAUAAGCCCCGGCUAACUUCGUG